rnacentral:lncRNA from 1 species
UAUAGCGUAGUGGGCUCCUCACUGUACAAAAAUUCCCCCCCAAAGCGAUAGGCAUCUCAUGGAUAUUAUGUUGGGGAAACCGAGUUCAACAAAGCUUUGUGCAACAGUAUUUAUUCAAAUGACGUUUCUCCCAGCCCAGGAGGAAUUUGGGACAGUAGAGAGAGUGAUAAACUCCAUUCAUCACACUCUUUCUUUCUUCUUCAACCUCCAUGUCUGUAAGUUCACCUCUGGACGUAAGAGCGGUAUCCACAGGUUAGUUUCCUGGGGUUUGGAAGGUGUGGUCUGCGCGGAGGAGACGCUGUCGAUACGGCAUGGAUUCAGGUGUGUUCCUGAGAAUGGAGUUAAAGUGGAGGAGGUUCUGCUUGCAGUCGGUGAACAGAGAGAGAGACAGCCUCCAAGACUCACCUCUACCUCAAGAAACCUACUUUUCCUACUCCAAUCUCCCCUCACAUCAAUCAUCAUGCACCUUGCGUUGUGUUCGUUCAUCAUGGGAGGAUCUUCAGUGGGGCAGUUUCUCCUCUCAACAUGGCUAAGAAACACACAGCAGGCUGAACCUCAUUGGAGGAAUCCAGUGUUGUGUUCGAGACCACCUUAAGCGAGACCGAUUCAAGACCAAGACCGGAGCGAAUCGAGUCCGAGUCAAAACCAAGACCGGAGAGGGGGUGAGACCAAGUCAAGACCGAGGCCAGGAGGGGGAUGAGAGGUUCGAGACCGAGUCAAACCGAGACCAGAAUAAUCCGAGAGGUCCGAGACCAAGUCCAAGUCAAGACCAUGACUAUAAUUUUGUAAAAUCGUGACCAAAAUAUGAUUUAAAAAUGUCCAGUAUUUCUGUGUUCAUAUUUCAGAAGAGUAUAUGAAUUCUUUAGAUAUUCAGAAUGGUGAAAAAAAAUGCAUGCUGAGGGCAAAUAGAGCCACUCUACAAUGAGGACCUUCUGUGCUUUCAGAGAAAGGCCAAGUAUUUAUAAAAUAAUAAAAAGUAAUUAUUAUUAUGUUGUUCUUUUCAAUGAUGUUCUGAUUUAAUCUCUUCAGUUUUUGCUACAAAGGUAAAGGUUAAUACUUUGGGGGUCUCUGGGGAGAUACAUCUAGCUAGCUAAGUCAGCCAUUGGCUGGGCCAUCAGAAGCUUGAUAGAAGGCAUCUGCCAUUCAACUGAAUUAGGGCAACAUUUUGGUGUGACAGUGGAAUCAACCAAUCACAUUGACUUGUAGUGGCCAACAGGUCAAAGGUCACUGUGAAAUAGCGAGCAGUAGUUUUCCCAAGGUCUAGCUAUCUUUUGUUGUAGGCUAGUUUGCAGUCACUGCAGCAGGUGCGUCAAAGAGAAUGUUGUUGCUAAUUUGCUAACUUCUCACUUUUCAAGAAUAACUUUCAAUGAGAAGUUAUGUUUCUAAUGAUCACCAUCUGGUGAGUGGA